AGAGAGGUCCAGCUGAUGUCACUGUAUCAUCCAACAGUCCAGUAGCGCCUUAUCCAUCCAUCAGCUGUUAAUUAUAAUUAGACUCAAUGCUUUUGUAAUAAGUCAGCAGUUUUUGUUGUUUUAAUUUUUUUUUAAAAGAGUUUAUCUCCUUAUUUCACUAAAUUUACCAGUAAAAUACAGAUUAUCAAGUUUAUUUUAAAAAAAAGUCUCAUUUUGGAACCACUGUUAUAUAACAGCUAAUAUUGACACGCCCUCGCAGCCAUAGAGCCUGUUUGAGAAUCAGCCCCAUCAACCAAGUCCGAACCACAAUGCUGGAAAUGGGAACACCGCCAUCCUCUGCUGUGUAAAUGAGGGAAGCCUCAGUAAAGCAGGCGGAGGAGGAGUAAACCAGAGAGGAGCACAAAGCCUAAAGCAGCAGUCCCUCCCAAACAGGACUGUAAAAGAAAAAACUACAGCCUCUGAGACGGACAGGGUAACAAGAGCAAGAUCUUAAGGACAAAAGUAAAAUACAAGAAGAUUAAUUUUUUUUUUGUCUCAGUCAGAUUGCAAUUAUUUGUCUUCCUUUAGGAGCUGCAGCUCCUAAACAACAAACCAACUAACUAGCUGUAACAAACGCUGCAGGAGACAGCUUCUGGGAACAUAGUAUAGCGUGUUUACAUGGUCUCCACCCAGUCCUCCUCCUCUUCUGCUGGCACAGGAAACUUCUGACACUUACUGUGGGCUUGACUAAGUGUGGGAAAACAGCUGAGACUCUCACAGGAUGGAUGCCAGACAGGAGACAGUGGGCCUCCUGAACAAAAUAUGGCUCAAGCUUCAAAGUCUGCCCAGCGCCCACCCUUUGGAGAUGGCAGGCUUCUUCAUCCUCCUAAUCUUCAUCUUUACGGUCAUUCUCAUGGCGGUGCUCACCUGUGUGAGCCACCGCUGCUGCUGCCGCUGCUGCCCCUGUUGUAAGCCCAAACAGGACGGACCCAAUGUUUGAGUGAACGUUUUUACUAUCAGACAGGUUUUUCCUGCGGAUCUGCAAAGCACAAUGUUUAGAAAUCCUGCCAGGGUUUCGGAUAUAAACCAUACAGAGUGCACAAAAAGGGCAGGGCCCCAGAACAACUAAGCUAACUGUUGGGAUCAUGUUCUGGGCUACAAAGAACACCUGUCAAUGCUGCCAGGCUUUCAGGAGAAGCGACAUUCCUCUGGAGCAUCCCUGCCACCUGCAGAGCGACAACAGCUCAUCUACCUUGACGAAAUGGGGCCGGUCCCAGACCAAACUGAACAUGCUUCCGUGCCUUUAAAAAUAGUAAGCCGCACAGUGUUAGAUGAGCAGAAAUUAAGAAACAUAUUAAAACGAGAGAGAAAAAACGAAGCACAAGGCAGCCAGGAAAGCAGCCGAAAGUUGAUGAAGAUUGAAAGCAGUGAUAGCAAAGUCUCCUGCUCCAAUUUAAGUUCAAGGAGUGAAGGUUUAAGUGGUGAUCUGUCCAGUGAGGAAGAGGAAGUCUGAGGGCAGCACAUUAGAGACCUAACAAACCAGAACCCUACAGAGGGAUUCAUAAGAUCUCUGUGGUAAAGGAACAUGUGUGGCAAAACUAUAAUUCCAAAAUGUUAAAUCUGGCAGUACUCAGGUAGAAUUAAAUAUUGUUUCACUUUAUACCAGCGCUGUUACUCUAGUGUGCAUCACUUCGGUUACUUCCAACAAAACAACGCUUUAAGUUAGGGAGCAGUGAAAAGGUUGUGUAAAACAUAACACCAGUGAACGGAAGCAGCUGAAAGUCUCCCUUUUCUACAAACAAUCGGCUUGCAAUUUACUCAGAAUGGUUUAAUUGGCAGCUACAUAAUCGUAGUUCAAAGUGUAAGUUUACAGUUAAUUUUCUCACAACAACAAAAAAGUCCCUUAAAGUAAAUGCCACAUAAGAUAGUUGGCAGGGAAAUUAGAACCCUGAUAUACAAUCUGGACUUUUUGUCCCAGGUGGGUGACAAGAAAUGACAAGAAAUCUGCACUUCUCACCUAUUUACUUUCACAUAUCUCAUCCACUUUUUCUGUGUAUAGUUUAUUUGGAGAAAGUAAGAAUGGUCACUCGAUUCUUUUCUGUGUUGCUAACUGGCAACAUUUGACAGAUGUAUUCCUGUUGGAAGGCCUUUUUUGUUCAAGUAAAAAACAAUCGGUAUUAUGCAUUUCUGUUUUAGAGGGGUGGGACUCCAAAUGGUCUUUUUGUGUCAGAAAAAUGAAUUUUAAAAUGACUUAUCUACUUUGAAAAAUAAUGAAAUGGACAAUUGUUAAUUUAAUUAUGUUUCAUACUUCCAUCACUUUUAGGAGAUUUGUCCGUAAAAUAUCUUUGCCCUUUGAAGUGUUCCUUAACAGCAGGGAAUUAGAGGGGCAAGUGCACCCUCUGCUGUUUUGAAAUUGAAAAGUGGAUAUUUAGAGAAAAAUUGAAUUAUGUUUAUACCUAAAAUUAUUAAAGUAGUUCAAACAUAAUAAUGUCAGGUUGAUACUGUACCCUAAUGUACUGCAUUGAUUUUUAUACAAUAAAGAGGUCAUUUCCAAAGGA